rnacentral:rRNA from 1 species
CCAAGAGUGAUGAAGCUUUAUUGUGGAUUCGCUGGCGGCUCCGACCCAGUGUUGUAGUAGUUUAGCAAUGGUGUGACACAGGAAGGCAGUCCAACCCGGGCGAUGGUUGUCCCGGGGUAAGGUCGUAGGGAGAGACGUAGGCAAAUCCGCGUCUCACAUAUCCUGAGAACUGAUGCCGAGCCGUAAGGCGAAGUGGAUGAUCCUAUGCUGUCAAGAAAAGCAUCUAGCGAGAUUUAUAGCGGCCCGUACCCGAAACCGACACAGGUGGUCAGGUAGAGAAUACCAAGGCGAUCGAGAUAAUUAUGGAUAAGGAACUCGGCAAAAUGCCCCCGUAACUUCGGGAGAAGGGGGGCCCUUUAGCGUGUAGGAAUUUACUUCCGAAGCGCUGGAAGGCCGCAGAGACCAGGCUCAAGCGACUGUUUACCAAAAACACAGGUCCGUGCGAAGUUGCAAAACGAUGUAUACGGACUGACGCCUGCCCGGUGCUGGAAGGUUAAGGGGACUGGUUAGCCGCAAGGCGAAGCUGAGAACUUAAGCCCCAGUAAACGGCGGUGGUAACUAUAACCAUCCUAAGGUAGCGAAAUUCCUUGUCGGGUAAGUUCCGACCUGCACGAAUGGCGUAACGACUUGAGCGCUGUCUCAUCCGUAAACUCGGCGAAAUUGCAUUACGAGUAAAGAUGCUCGUUACGCGCAGAAAGACGGAAAGACCCCGGGACCUUUACUAUAUCUUUAUAUUGGUGUUCGGAACGGUUUGUGUAGCAUAGGUGGGAGACUUUGAAGCGGGCACGCCAGUGUUUGUGGAGUCAUCGUUGAAAUACCACUCUGAUCGUUUUGAACUUCUAACCUCGGUCCGUAAUCCGGAUCAGGGACAGUGUAUGGUGGGUAGUUUGACUGGGGCGGUCGCCUCCUAAAAAGUAACGGAGGCGCUCAAAGGUUCCCUCAACCUGGUUGGUAAUCAGGUGUCGAGUGUAAGUGCACAAGGGAGCUUAACUGUGAGACAGACAUGUCGAGCAGGUGCGAAAGCAGGAACUAGUGAUCCGGCGGUGGCUUGUGGAAGCGCCGUCGCUCAACGGAUAAAAGGUACCCCGGGGAUAACAGGCUGAUCUUGCCCAAGAGUCCAUAUCGACGGCAAGGUUUGGCACCUCGAUGUCGGCUCGUCUCAUCCUGGGGCUGGAGUAGGUCCCAAGGGUUGGGCUGUUCGCCCAUUAAAGAGGCACGCGAGCUGGGUUCAGAACGUCGUGAGACAGUUCGGUCCCUAUCUUCUGUGCGCGCAGGAAACUUGAGAAGGGCUAACCCUAGUACGAGAGGACCGGGUUGGACGAACCUCUGGUGUGUCGGUUGUUCCGCCAGGAGCACCGCCGAUUAGCUACGUUCGGAAGGGAUAACCGCUGAAAGCAUCUAAGCGGGAAGCUCGCUUCAAGAUUAGGUUUCCCACUGGUUUACCAGGUAAGGCCCCCAGUAGACGACUGGGUUGAUAGGACGGAAGUGGAAGAGCCGCAAGGUUUGGAGCUGACCGUUACUAAUAGGCCGAGGAUUUAACUAC